rnacentral:rRNA from 1 species
AACCUUUACACUGCACGACAGUGCGAUAAGGGAAUCCCAAGUGCGUAGGCAUAGAGCCUACGCUUUUGUCCACCGUAGGGAGGUGGACGAAUAAGGGCUGGGCAAGACCGGUGCCAGCCGCCGCGGUAAUACCGGCAGCCCGAGUGAUGGCCGAUCUUAUUGGGCCUAAAGCGUCCGUAGCUGGCCGCGCAAGUCUAUCGGAAAAUCCACCCGCUCAACGGGUGGGCGUCCGGUAGAAACUGCGUGGCUUGGGACCGGAAGGCGCGACGGGUACGUCCGGGGUAGGAGUGAAAUCCCGUAAUCCUGGACGGACCGCCGAUGGCGAAAGCACGUCGCGAAGACGGAUCCGACAGUGAGGGACGAAAGCUAGGGUCUCGAACCGGAUUAGAUACCCGGGUAGUCCUAGCCGUAAACAAUGCCUGCUAGGUGUGGCUCCCACUACGAGUGGGUGCUGUGCCGUAGGGCAGCCGCUAAGCAGGCCGCCUGGGAAGUACGUCCGCCAGGAUGAAACUUAA